rnacentral:tRNA from 1 species
UGCAUCGGCCGAGAAUCGAACCCGGGCCGCUCGCAUGGCAGGCGAGCAUUCUACCACUGAACCACCGAUGG